GUGCCAGCAGCCGCGGUAAUACGGAGGGUGCGAGCGUUGUCCGGAAUCACUGGGCGUAAAGGGCGCGUAGGUGGCGCGACAAGUCAACGGUGAAAGCCCGGGGCUCAACCCCGGGUCGGCCGUCGAUACUGUUGGGCUUGAGCACUGUAGAGGCAGGUGGAAUUCCGGGUGUAGCGGUGGAAUGCGUAGAGAUCCGGAAGAACACCGGUGGCGAAGGCGGCCUGCUGGGCAGUAGCUGACACUGAGGCGCGACAGCGUGGGGAGCAAACAGGAUUAGAUACCCCGGUAGUCC
rnacentral:rRNA from 1 species